rnacentral:rRNA from 1 species
CCCUUAGAUGUUCUGGGCCGCACGCGCGCUACACUGAUUCAUGCAACAAGUUUUGUCCUUGGCUGAUAGGCCUGGGUAAUCUUUGAACGUGAAUCGUGAUGGGGAUAGAUGGUUGCAAUUAUUCAUCUUCAACGAGGAAUUCCUAGUAAACGCAAGUCAUCAGCUUGCAUUGAUUACGUCCCUGCCCUUUGUACACACCGCCCGUCGCACCUACCGAUUGAAUGGUCCGGUGAAAUCUUCGGAUCUGAGAGAUGUCUGAUUAAUUUCGGACGCCUUUUGGAAAAGUUGCUUAAACCUUACCAUUUAGAGGAAGGUGAAGUCGUAACA